rnacentral:rRNA from 1 species
AUUGAACGCUGGCGGCAGGCCUAACACAUGCAAGUCGAACGAGUGGCGGAUGGGUGAGUAAUGUCUGGGAAUCUGCCUGAUGGAGGGGGAUAACUACUGGAAACGGUGGCUAAUCCCGCAUACUAUCAGAUGUGCCCAGAUGGGAUUAGCUUGUUGGUGGGGUAACGGCUCACCAGGGCCACGAUCCCUAGCUGGUCUGAGAGGAUGAACAGCCAGACUGGAACUGAGACACGGUCCAGACUCCUACGGGCGGCAGCAGUGGGGAAUAUUGCAAAAUGGGCGGAAGCCUGAUGGAGCCAUGCCGCGUGUAUGAAGAAGGCCUUCGGGUUGUAAAAGACUUUCAUCGGGGAAGCGGUACCCGGAAAAGAAGCACCGGCUAACUCCGUGCCAGCAGCCGCGGUAAUAC